AUUGAACGCUGGCGGCAGGCUUAACACAUGCAAGUCGAGCGGAGAUGAAGUGCUUGCACCUUAUCUUAGCGGCGGACGGGUGAGUAAUGCUUAGGAAUCUGCCUAUUAGUGGGGGACAACAUUCCGAAAGGAAUGCUAAUACCGCAUACGUCCUACGGGAGAAAGCAGGGGAUCUUCGGACCUUGCGCUAAUAGAUGAGCCUAAGUCGGAUUAGCUAGUUAGUGGGGUAAAGGCCUACCAAGGCGACGAUCUGUAGCGGGUCUGAGAGGAUGAUCCGCCACACUGGACUGAGACACGGCCCAGACUCCUACGGGAGGCAGCAGUGGGGAAUAUUGGACAAUGGGGGGAACCCUGAUCCAGCCAUGCCGCGUGUGUGAAGAAGGCCUUAUGGUUGUAAAGCACUUUAAGCGAGGAGGAGGCUACUGAGACUAAUACUCUUGGAUAGUGGGCGUUACUCGCAGAAUAAGCACCGGCUAACUCUGUGCCAGCCGCCGCCGUAAAAC
rnacentral:rRNA from 1 species